AAUCCAAUCAAGCCUGGCUUGGUAUUGGGCGCCGGGACUCCUCCGCGCCUCAAUUUCACCGGCUGGUCGCCGCCCGUCUUAGCGUAGUGAACAUACUUUUCGCUGGCGAUGGGGAGCGGUUCACGCCGUUAAAAUUCAAUGAAUUUCAAUCGAAAUUCGAUUAGG
rnacentral:misc_RNA from 1 species